UUUCCGAAAAAAAAUACAUAAAAUGUAAUUAAUGUAGAUGUCUUUGAUUUAGUCAUAUAUACUACUCAUGUUUCCAUCUGCUAACAAGAAGUUAGCUAACAAAAUACAUCAAAACAACAAGAAGAUAACAAAUUAUAUUAAAACAACCACCACUUAAUUACUAGCACACUCUUUUCCCUCACUUUCUCACUGUUAUUUGGUUUUAACAUAAAACUUAUUUGAACGGUAGUGGUGGAACCUUCACACACGCAUGCGUGCAAAUUUUGAACCUUUUAACUUAUUGGAACUGCUUAUAAUCACUUCCAUUUAUCUCCAGAUGAGGAGAUCCCCAAGGGCAAAACACAACCCUAUAAUUACUAUUACCGGGGCAAGUAAAAGUACUAGUUGGAUCAUCCUGAGGAUAACUAUAGGCAUCAGGGCACCUUUCCUUGAAAAACCUUGAGUAACCUGUGGGGCCACAUGGUCCAUUGGUGCAACAGUAUUGUGGGGUCUUGAACGUCGUGCAUGGGUUAUUACACCCACCCGCAACCCGCAUUGGGUUCGGGCAUUGCCCGUUGAUAUCCGCCGUGCACAGAAGUUGUUUGCAUUUCCCUCCAAGAUUAGUGGUGGGGCUGAAAUCCAUAGGAAUAUUGAAUCCAUCUACUAGUGAAAUGUCAUAAAAAUCUAGGUUUCCGAAUUGAUUCAGGGCAUAUUCGGCUAGGGUAUUCGGUGGGACUCCCCACCCAGUGCACUGGAGGGACCCACAAUCUCCUGUUUGGCAACGGCCCCUACCGGAACCAUCAAAGUUGCAAUUGGUUCGACCCCAAAUGCGUGCCAUUUUGGUGCCAGGAGGUGCAUAUAACCACCAAGUUUCGCCUCGGUUAAGUCGACGGCCACCACCUGGCGAAGCUGCAGCCCACACGGUGUAAGGGCAGUUGUUGCGGAUUUCAAAAGUCGCGGCACUGGUGAUGGUGAAGAGGCUAGGGAGGAGGAGGAGGAAUGGGACAAUGGCCAAGUAGCUCAU
rnacentral:lncRNA from 1 species